UGAAUAAUUGCUAACAUAAAUUGCUCGUUCAAUAAAAUAAUAUUGUAUUUUUAAAGUAUAUCAAUACUAAUACUUCUUUCUUUUUUUGUAUGAAACUUCUAGGGAAUUAAUUGGAAUCCAAUUAUAUCUUCCUUCAUCAUAAAGUCAAGAAAAUUUUGGAAAAUGGAAAAAAAGAAAUAAAUAUAUGGGGGCAUGAAUAGGAGUAGAAGAUAAAAUAUUCAGAUAUUAGUAGCAGUUGCCAAAUUAUUUUGGUUUUUGAAAUAACUACUCGCUACGGUUAAAACUAUGUUGGAUGUUCCUUCUUGCAAGAAUUUGACGAUGGGAGGCAGUUGUGAAGCGCUGGACUUACACAAAAAUAGAUCUUUCGGAUGCGAAAACAUUGUUUCCCAGAGCUGAGGACAACACACUUGCAUUGGCACGAUUAGAAGAUGGAACAAAUGACCCCAACAUGCAAAUGGGACAUGCAAAUGGGACAUGAAGAAGAAGAUGAUCCUUAUAACACAAUACAGGUCAAUGAGAUAGAGAUAUGCUAAGAAAAUCACAUAAAUUAGGUGUAAGGAUA